GGUUGUCUAGCUCAGUGGUAGAGCGUAAGACUCUUAACCUUGUGGUUGUGGGUUCGAGCCCACGGUGGGUG
rnacentral:tRNA from 1 species